CCCUGGUCAGGGUUCCGUAGAGAUUCAUCAUAGUGACUACACACUGGCCACUUGAGGGCACUGUGGAUCCACUGAGUGGGCCACUGAUAGCACUGUCUGGGAGAGAGAGGGUUAAGGGAGACUGUCUUGGCUUCCUUUCUGCAUCAAGGAUAUUACUAGAUGAACCAGAGGUAGUGCUGGCACAGGAGGAGUUCAUCAUAGUUUUCUCAGGUCAACCGAUAUGCACGUGUAUUUGCCAUGGCAGGAAGCCAUCAACUGCAGGCUUGUGUGGCCUCUCUAGGAGCCUACGUUUGAUGGGGAGUGUGAUGAGGGUUUCAGCAAGGCAGCUUGGAUAACCCAAGCAAGCCAGGUGGAGACAAAGGAGCAGCUGCCUCAGAUGAAACUCUCAGAAGCUGUGAGAAUGGCUGUCUGCCCGGAAGCCUGCCCUACCUCACUCAGUGCAGCCAACUCCCCUGCCUGCAGGAAACUGGACAGGAUGGGGGAAAACCUGAGUUAGCUGAGCUAGUCCUGGGGUACAGGGUGCCUAUGAGAGCCUACAGGGACGAUGACAUCAGAACAGUGACAUCACAGUAAAACCCUCCAAAAACGGUGGGGAGGAGCAAAAGCCCUGCUUUCUCACCCCAGGAGACCAGCACCCUGAGUAGGGAAAUGCCUAGUCCUGUCCUGCCUGACUCUACCAGGGACACCAGGCUCCUCUGCUGUGUCAUGCUUUGUCUCCUGGGAACAGGUUCAGUGGCUGCUGGAGUCAUCCAGCACCCAAGACACCUGAUCAAAGAAAAGAGGGAAACAGCCACUCUGAAAUGCUAUCCUAUCCCUGGACAUGACACUGUGUACUGGUACCAGCAGGGUCCAGGUCAGGGCCUCCAGUUCCUCAUUUCAUAUUAUGAAAAGAUGCAAAGAGAUAAAGGAAGCAUCCCUGAUCGAUUCGUAGCUCGACAGUUCAGUGACUAUCAUUCUGAACUGAACAUAAGCUCCUUGGAUCUGGGGGACUCAGCCCUGUACCUCUGUGCCAGCAGCUUAGGCACAGCCCUGCAGAGUUACUGGCUUUCUGUACCCAAACCUUCCUGUCUCAGCUGGGGAUGCAAUAGGAAGAGGAAGGUAGGGGCUGCCACACAGCGUUAGCCAAGCCCCAGGGAUGCUUCUAGUUCUUUUCUAACAUUUUCCCUGCCCUGCUGAGCUCAUGGGAGCUCCUGCACGUGUGGACUCCAGACACACUGGAAAUUAUCACAUCUUUCUAAUUCCUUGCAAGUGGCAGGAGCUCCUCCUCUGUGGAACAUAUGGGUAUAUGUUUUAGUGUGUUUUCUGUUGCCAUAUAGAAUACCUCAGACUGGUUACUUUAUAAAGAAUCUAAAUUUCUUACAGUUCUGGAGGCUGGGAAGUCCAAGGUCAAGGACCCACAUCUUGUGAGGACCUUCUUGCUGGUGAGGACUCUGCAGAGUCCCUGGGUGGCACAGGGCA